rnacentral:rRNA from 1 species
UACGAAGGGGGCUAGCGUUGUUCGGAAUCACUGAGCGUAAAGGGCGCGUAGGCGGCUUUAUAAGUCGGGGGUGAAAGCCUGUGGCUCAACCACAGAAUUGCCUUCGAUACUGUAGAGCUUGAGACCGGAAGAGGUAAGUGGAACUGCGAGUGUAGAGGUGAAAUUCGUAGAUAUUCGCAAGAACACCAGUGGCGAAGGCGGCUUACUGGUCCGGUUCUGACGCUGAGGCGCGAAAAGCGUGGGGAGCAAACAGGG